GAUGAACGCUGACAGAAUGCUUAACACAUGCAAGUCUACUUGAACUUCGGUUUGGGUGGCGGACGGGUGAGUAACGCGUACAGAACUUGCCUCACAGAUAGGGACAACAUUUGGAAACGAAUGCUAAUACCUGAUAUUAUGAUUUUAGGGCAUCCUAGAAUUAUGAGAGCUAUAUGCACUGUGAGAGAGCUUUGCGUCCCAUUAGCUAGUUGGAGAGGUAACGGCUCACCAAGGCGAUGAUGGGUAGCCGGCCUGAGAGGGUGAUCGGCCACAAGGGGACUGAGACACGGCCCUUACUCCUACGGGAGGCAGCAGUGGGGAAUAUUGGACAAUGGACCAAGAGUCUGAUCCAGCAAUUCUGUGUGCACGAUGAAGUUUUUCGGAAUGUAAAGUGCUUUCAGUUGGGAAGAAAAAAAUGACGGUACCAACAGAAGAAGUGACGGCUAAAUACGUG
rnacentral:rRNA from 1 species